UUCCAACUUUUAUUCAUUCCAGUGCUUACUAAUUAAGCUUUCUCAAAGCUUUUUUGGACAAAAAUCUUCCAAUGGCAUUUUCACCAACGGUUUUACUUUUGGAAAAAAUAAAGUCAUGAAAAAGAUGGCAGCCGCCUAAAUUUUCCCACUUGAACUUUGUACAAAUCGUGGCGUGGAAAAGCUAACGGUGAUCGUGACUUGUGAUUAUAAAUAACAUCGGCAAGUUUUUAGCUGUUCCUGCUUAUCUUCGCUGGCUUAGAUCCCAAUCAUCAUGAUCUUGAUUCCGUGGUCCGGUACGACAGUGGCAACAACAAUAAUGGCCAACACCACGACGCUCGAAAGAGAAACUUUACAGCUUGCAGUUUUAGAGGUGUCCGGAGAUAAAUUUAUCUGCGGUCGCAGCCCUAUGUGAAUUUUGUACAGGAUAGAUCGGUAGUCCGGCAGCUAGCAGAAUUUUCAUCGAGUUUGAAGCAAGUGGUAUAGUGCUGAUGGUAGGAGGUAUAGAGAGAUAACUCAGUAGUAACCAUUUUUUACGGUACGGACAUCUCUGGUCCGAGUAAUGAUGAAAAAACUGUUUGAAUAAAUAAAAAUAUUCUGAAAAUAG